GGUACUGCACAGAACAGACAUUGUGACAUAUAUCUAGGCAAAUUGCCUAGAAGUGAAUCCCCUCUCCUGCUUAAGUCCUUCCCACAGAGAGCGGUUUGAUAUGUCACUGAAACCAGCAUCCAGGUGGUAUUGCUCCAUAUGCCUGAGACCCUAACAAAAGCCUAAUUACAACUCAUAUGCCUGGAGCCAGGACAUGUGCAGGAUGACUCUGCCAAGAGAGGGGAUUAUUACAUAUUGCAGAGCCCAGCACCUAGGUGGAGUGACUCUCAUCUUUUUCUUCUACCCCGUAUAUAGCCAGCUUGGUGACCUACUAUUUGAGUCUAUACCCAGGCCCAGACCACAGAUGAAAUUGUGCAAUAUGUGGAACAAACACCUAAACAAUAUAUAACACCUUCCUUGGCUCUGUCUACAAAGGGCACUUUUAUAUAUCACUGGGACCAUCAACCAGGUGAUGUUGUGCCAUAUAACUGAGACCGUAUCAAAAGCCUAAUAACAAGACGUAUGUCUGGAGCCCCGAUAUGCACAGGAUGGUGAUAUAACCCUCUUCUCUGGAAUGGGCCCCACACAAAGGAAGGAUAGUGACAUAUUGCAAGCCCAGGCACACAGGCCCAGAGCACAGUUGAAAUUGUGACAUAUGUACACCAAGCAACCAAGCAAUGUAUAACACCUCAUUUGGCAAUGGAAUCGAGGGCACUUUUACAUAUCACUGAGACCAGCGCCCAGCUGAUGUGAAAUAUUGGCCUGAACCCUGCCUACAAAAGCAUUGUGGCUUUUAUCUAGCUCCAUUACAUAAGUGAUGUGACUUCCUUCUACUGCCUUGGCCCUGCACUUAUGGUGAAUCGUGACACAAAAUUGGGUAGAGCAACCAGCCUGGGCCCUGACCAGCACAGAGAUUGAGGCAUAUUGCUGAACCCAGGACCAAGAUGAAGUCACUCUCCUGCCUUGAUCCUGCACACAGGGACCCUUGUGACAUAUAUACAGGCCAAUUGCCUAGGUGAUGUUGUGCAAUAUACCUGAGACCAGAUCAAUGGCCUAAUAAUGACUCUUUUACCUAGAGCCAGGACAUGUGCAGGAUGGUAACUCUCAUCCCUGAACCUUUCCACAGGUGUUAUUGUCACAUAUACCUUUUCCAGCUCCAAAGUGAUUUAAUAAUCCAGCCUAGUUAUAGCCCACAGAUAAUAUUUGGACAUA
rnacentral:lncRNA from 1 species